AUGAAGACUGCAGGAGAGAGGUUAGUUCAUUCUUAACUGAAUAAACUAACCCACCGAAGAAGUAAAUCUUUCAGGUGCUAAUGUUCUAUUUACAGAACAAGCGAGGACUGUAGUUGGAGG
rnacentral:ncRNA from 1 species